UUUUCCUUUCCUCCCUCCUCAUGAAGUUGCGCAACAUUUUUCCAUUAAAAGCCUGAGAUCUCAGUGAGCCUGCUGAAAGGAGGAACAUGGCAGAGAAUCGGGUGAGGGACAUGUACGAGGGAGUAGACCCAGGUGAAAUGACUGAACAAGAGAAAAAAGCGCACAUAGCGAGAACUCUUCGUGAAAACCCAGAUGUUCUGUUUAGAAUAUAUUGCCAAGGCAGACUGCAUAUGGUCCUCUUGAGGCCAACUAACCCUGGGGAGUGGACGAGGGUGAUUCUGAGCAGGAUCACAACCAACCUGUCUUUUCAGAUGACUAAGAAACGUGGCGUAAACGACAUCUUCAAAAUCACCAUGUCUGGUACUCAAGAGGAGCUUGGACAUUUCUGUGAUGAUUUUGAUCAGCUCUAUGUCGAGGUCAUGACAAACAGCCAGGAUGGAGGAGCAGCAGCACAGAGGAACCCAGAGGAUGAUGUUGAGGAGCUCAGAGCGAGAAUCAAAGAGCUGGAGCUGGAGAACAAGAAGCUUCAGAAGCGGUAGAUGUCCAAAUCCAAGCCCCAUGUACCUACCGCUGGUCUCCUUUCAUCGCUGCAGUGGGAGUGGAUGAAGUUGUGUAUAAAUAUAUUAUUAGAACUAUAUUAUUAACUGUCAUUUUCAAAAUCCCUACACCGAAUACUGAAAAAUCUCCUACGCAUACCAGAUCAUCUGAUACGUAUACUUCAUCCUUUUAUUUCUAGAAGUGACGAAUAUUCAUUUAGCUAAGACUCAGCACUAGAUUCCCAGAUAGCAGACUAACACUGAAUCAACAUUGAAUCAACACUGAAUCAACACUGAAUCAAUACUGAAUCAACACUGAAUCAACAUUGAAUCAACAUUGAAUCAAUACUGGAUCAACGUUAAUGCAUCAACCAUAUUAUCAUUGAGUCAGUGUUGAAAUUUGAAAUGAGAUUUUUUUAUCAGAUUUGCACACUGAAACAACGAAAAACAGAUCAAGACGGACAAAAUAUAUAUCAAUAUUUGUUCAACUACAUGGAAGGGUCAUGAGGUCACAAAAUGAACAGGAUUCAUCCUAUGAGGAGCACAAAUAUGCUCACUAAAUUUCAUGGAAACGCAUCCAGUUGAUUUGCGUUGUGUUGAAUGAGGGGACAUUAAAUCUAAGCCCCACCAGUGGGGAAAUGAAGCUGACCAGAAAAUCAACACUGAUUCACUGUUUGUCUUCUCAACACUGAAUCAACACUGAAUCAACACUGAUUCACUGUUUGUCUUCUCAACACUGAAUCAACACUGAAUCAACACUGAUUCACUGUUUGUCUUCUCAACGCUGAAUCAACACUGAUUCACUGUUUGUCUUCUCAACACUGAAUCAACACUGAUUCACUGUUUGUCUUCUCAACACUGAAUCAACACUGAUUCACUGUUUGUCUUCUCAACACUGAAUCAACACUGACUCAACACUGAUUCACUGUUUGUCUUUUCAACACUGAAAAGCUAAUUAAUUAUCAACGUUGAUUCAAUAUUAUUUAGUAUUGAAUAUUCAAUCUCAACCAAAAUGAUGAUUCUGAUGGAAUUUCAACAUUGAAUCAAUGUCACCUUGCUAUCUGGGUUUAAACUGACUCAUGCAUUAUGUAUAUGUUUGUUUGUUUGUUUGUUUGUUUGCUAUAAAGUCUUAACAACCUUCAUGCUGUUAUAUCACCUAGAAAUAGAAUUAAAACCUCCAUUUUAUUUAUUUCAUUGUAUUUUAGAAUAUAUUUUCCAAGUACUUUUUCUUACAUUUAAUGAAUAUUUAAUAACAUUUAAUGUUUAUUUUAAUAAACAGUUAAUAAAGUGACUUUUAUAACGA